rnacentral:rRNA from 1 species
UACAGAGGGUGCGAGCGUUAAUCGGAAUUACUGGGCGUAAAGCGUGCGUAGACGGUUAUUUAAGUCGGGUGUGAAAGCCCCGGGCUCAACCUGGGAAUUGCAUUCGAGACUGAAUAGCUAGGGUACGGUAGAGGGAAGUGGAAUUUCCGGUGUAGCGGUGAAAUGCGUAGAUAUCGGAAGGAACAUCGGUGGCGAAGGCGGCGUUCUGGACUGCAACUGACACUGAGGAACGAAAGCCAGGGGAGCAAACGGG